AACGAACGCUGGCGGCACGCCUAACACAUGCAAGUCGAGCGCAUUCUUCGGGAUGAGCGGCGGACGGGUUAGUAACGCGUGGGAACAUGCCCUUCUCUAAGGAAUAGCCACUGGAAACGGUGAGUAAUACCUUAUACGCCCUUCGGGGGAAAGAUUUAUCGGAGAAGGAUUGGCCCGCGUUAGAUUAGAUAGUUGGUGGGGUAACGGCCUACCAAGUCGACGAUCUAUAGCUGGUUUGAGAGGAUGAUCAGCAACACUGGGACUGAGACACGGCCCAG
rnacentral:rRNA from 1 species